UCCAUCUUGGAAGACACCAGGAAUCUUUCGGGCCCAAGAAAGACAAAAAUCACGAUAGACAUUGAGCUCCAUAAAGUGGAACAGCAUGAUUUCCCUACAAAUGAUAGCUGAGGGAAAGAGAAGGUCUUCUUUGAGAGACAGAACCUUUCCCAAGCAGCGCAAUAAGAGCUGGCCUGUAUAAGAAGAGACCAGGAGAUGAGCCAAUACUUGCAGCAAGUGGUCUCUGAGAGGAGGAGACAGACACAGCAAAUAGCUCUGUUGCAGGAGCACAGCUUCAUGACCGGAUUAGCUGCCUUGCUAGAUAUGUAUGGUCUCAG